CACCCUACGGGGGGCAGCAGUGGGGAAUAUUGGGCAAUGGGCGCAAGCCUGACCCAGCAACGCCGCGUGAAGGAAGAAGGCUUUCGGGUUGUAAACUUCUUUUGUCAGGGACGAAGCAAGUGACGGUACCUGACGAAUAAGCCACGGCUAACUACGUGCCAGCAGCCGCGGUAAUACGUAGGUGGCAAGCGUUAUCCGGAUUUAUUGGGUGUAAAGGGCGUGUAGGCGGGAAUGCAAGUCAGAUGUGAAAACCAUGGGCUCAACCCAUAGCCUGCAUUUGAAGCUGUAUUUCUUGAGUGCUGGAG
rnacentral:rRNA from 1 species